AUUGCUUCUUGUCCUUUUGGCUAAGAUCAAGUGUAGCAUCUGUUCUGAUACGUCCUUUAUCUGAGGAUAAUAUAUUAAAUGGAUUUUUGGAAUUAGGAGAUGAAAUAGGAGCUUGCUCCGUCCACUCCAUGCAUCGACCUGGUAUUGCAGUACUUCCAGGAACGGUGCGCCCCUU
rnacentral:snRNA from 1 species